UGAGUUCCUUGCCCUGACUUCCCUCAGUGACAGAGUGUGCACUAAGGGAUUAAGACCACUGCCUAACCUGGGAGAGGUUACCGAAGCACUCAGCAAUCCUAUCCACAUUCGUUUACUGGGCUGAUGGAUGGGGACCCACAAGGCAGGAGGCCAACCGGGCAGCUGGACCUCCUCCGGCCUCGUUCUAUCCUGUACCCGCCCUCACCUGUAUGACAUCCUACAGGACUGUGCAGAAAGACCAGAACACAGACCAGGAUCCUCUUCAGGUGUACUGGGUACACCCAGCCUCCUCUCCACCACCAAAGAAGGUGUAGGGGACGGUCUCCUAAUGACCCAGCCCAUCUUCCAUUGAUCAUCCUGGUUCACACGAUUCCCAAUCCCAAAGUACCACCCAGGUCAAGCUGGUUAGGAGAAUAGCUAGUUUAGCUAAAGAGGUAGGUGUGGCAAGCCUUUGGGCCUGGAAGAAGCCAGUGACAAUAUGUAAAAAGGGUAUGACUGUGUAUCAGUACAUUUUUAUUAACAGAACCAGGCUUUGAGGCCAGAUUUAACUGGCAAAUUUUAACUUAUUGAGCUUUGGUCUCAGCCAAUCAAAGGUGACCCAACUCUAGCCAAUGAGAAGAGCUUCCUUAGGGAGUUGUGGGGUGUUUGUUCCCUCUUAAAAAAGAAGCAGGUGCUGGAGAGAUGGCUCAGGGGUUAAGAGCCCCAGUUGCUCUUACAAAGGACUCAGGUUUGGUUCCCAGCAUGCUCACAACUCUGGUUUCAGAGGAUCUAAUGCCAUCUUCUGGACUCUGUGGGUAUUGCACACACAUGGUGCACAACCUCAUGUGAGUAUACACAUACACAAAAAAAAUCAACACUUCUAAAGAGAGAAAAACAGGACAUGGGGAGUUGGCACAGAGGGUUAAGUGCCUGCCAUACCAGUCUGCAGACCUGAGUUUAACCCUCAGAACCUACAUAAAAAGGCAGGCCUGGUACACACACUUCCUCUCUCAGCACUGACAGGAGAAAAUGGUCCCUGAGGCUCCUAACCAGCUAUAUGAGUGAUCUCCAGGCCAAUGACAAAGCCUAUCUCAAAGGAGGCAAAAAGGUCAUGAGGACAGCAUCUGAGGCUGUCAUCUGACCUCUACACACCUCCAUACAAACAGGUGUGCAUAUACGCAUGUAUCAUGUGUGUGUGUGUGUGUGUGCGUGCGUGCGUGCGUGCGUGCGUGUGUGAAAUAUGGGUCAUAGUGUGCUUGCCUAGCAUGCACAAGGUUUGAGUCCCAGCCGCCAGUGAUAAUAUAAGAAGAAAUUUGAGGAAGCGGCUCUCCUAUAUUGGGCUAGACUUUGUCCUGUAGAAAUGAGUUGACCAGAUGAAAGACCCUGGUCCCAAACCCACGGCUCAUCUGUGCUCCCGACCUCUCCAGUGUGGGCUUCUUAUCAGAGGAGUGAAGAUGCUUGAUGGGUCAGCGAGAUGGAUCAGCAGGUAAAGUUGCUUGCCACCAAACCUGAUGACCUGAGUUCGAUUCCUAGGACCCAUAUAGUAGAAAGAAAAAACUGACACCUACAAUUGUAUACAACACACACACACACACACACACACACACACACACACACGCAUGCUCGCACGCACUAAACAAAUGUUGUACAAACAAUUAAACUUGUUUAAAUUGUUUUUUUCUCACUUGUUAAUGUAAUCUGUUCCUUGUGCCCUAGGCCCUGUGCUGAGCACCCCACACCCCAGCUACCUUAGGAACACAAUGAUUUAGAGAUCAGCUUCUUACCCUGAGUCUCAGGGGUCUCUGGUCAAACCGCUAGCACUUUACGGGCAGAAACAAGGUCAAGCACACUGGUCAGACAGGUUGGUUGUGAACUUCAAAGCAGGUAGCCUUAGAAAAGACCUGGCCCAGGCUGUGCCUUGCAUCUCUCCUGUCCCCCUAAUACCAAGAUGUCACCUCCUUCUGCAACGCUCUUAGGUGGCUGGAGUUAUUCUGAUCUCACAUUCAGGCUGCCAAAGGUUUGCACGCAUCACAUGCACGUGCGCAUGCGCAUGGUCAUCUGUUCUGGGGACUGGGGCAAUCGACUCUCUCCCUUUUGGCUGAGAGCUCAAGUGUCGAUCUUCCAAGGCUCCAAGAAGCUGACACUACUAGCCCACUAGCCCGGUGCAGGAUCUAAAGCCCAGAGGGGUUGAGUAAGUCUUUUUUCUUUCCUUCCCCAAAUCCCAGCCUCAUGAUGCUAGGCAAACCAUUCAGCUUCCUUUCCACCUCUGCCAUGAGUCUGUGUGAGCGUCAGGAGUCAGAUACUCUGAUGCUCUGCCAGUUGAGCACCUCACACACCAGCUGGUGUCUGUGGUUAGGCGAGGGGUCAGGGCCUUGACCUGGUUUUGCCCUGCUAGUCUAUGUUUGGCCGGGUAUCCAUGGGGACCCCCAGAUGAC
rnacentral:lncRNA from 1 species